ACCGGCGGUACGGUCAGCUCCCCGUGAACUCCCCCAGGACCGGAAGGUAGCAAGGGCAGCGGGUUGUAGCGGCGCGAUACCGCCUUUUUU
rnacentral:SRP_RNA from 1 species